GGUACAGAGGUGGGGGAUCCAUACAAGAUCCUUGGUUGACCAGAUUCAACCACACAUUUCAAACGCCUGAGGAGCUACAUGGGUGAGGGAUAGUGACAAGUGUCACUCAUACAGUAAAGGGGAAGGGAACGAUUAAAAACAAAAUGAGAUACGAAAGAGAUAAUUUUAACACUUUCAUUCUUUCUCCUCAGAUCUGAGAGCUCUCUACACUCACUAAUCUCUUCCCAUACCACUGCUGGUGUUCAUCAUGAACACCAACACCUCCUUCAAUUCAGCCCAUCCUCCACCGUACUCCCCAGUUCUCCAGUUGAAGUUCAACUAGGACCAUCAUCCUGAACCCGGACUAGGUUGAGCUUCAUCUUCAACCUUGAGUCUCUUCCACUUGAAACCUAGCUUCACCAGAGACAGGUGGUGGCCCACGGCGGCACCACCUUCUUCUCCGGCUAACCCUACCUAAAAACUACCAUGAUUCAAAAACUCUAAACACUAACCUCCAUUUAAACACUCUCCUGGUCUCAAAUCCGGCCUUAGUUUCUGCAAACUCCUCUCCACAUGUCUAGAUAGGAUACCUCAGUAACCCAAACCUUAACCUAUUCUAAAACUUAUCAAAAUCGAAAACCUCCAAUGCAAAACCUCUUCACCUUAAGCCCCAUAAUCACAAAACCUAAGCUGAAACCUCCAACAACCCCAAAACAAGUCCAGAUCGGGACAAAAAUGAAGAAAUCGAAAUGCUUCAAAUAAAACUCCAAGCAAUCAAAAUAAACUAAAGCAAGCAGGAAGACUUCAAACAACAAAUCAAAGCAAAGAGAAGUAUCAUCAAUAAUUUAAAACAAGCUCACAAGGAGUUCAAAGUUGUACCUAUCAGAGUCUCUUCGAUGGAACUUCUAAAAAGCUUGGAUUAGCUUGGCUGAGCAACAACUCACAUGGAGGAGACUUGAAGAAAAUGGCUUGCUUGCUUGAGGUAGCUCACAAGGAAGAAGAUUGAAGAAAAUGACUUACUUGAAGGUGUGACAAGCUGGUAGUGCUUCAUUCAGGGUCGGCCCUGUGUAACUGCAGCAUGUGUUGCAGCACAGGGUCCCAAAAUUUGAAUUUUGAAUUUUUUUUCUUCAUACAUAUUAAUAAAAAUAAAUAAAAUGUUAUUAAAAAAAUUCAAUAAUUGAAAGAAAUGUUAUGAUAAAAACUCAAUACAUACAAAAAUUAAGAUUGAUCAAAACUCAAAAUAAUUAUAAUUAAAUAUAUUUUUAAUUAAUACAUAAUUGUAUUUUUGAUUUUUUUUUUAUAAAAUUUGGACCCAUUUUUGAAAUUAGAACGGGGCAUCCGAUAUGAUUGGACCGGAUCUGGCUUCAUUAUAUGUUAUUUUUGCCAAUUCUUGUAUUUGUUAAGAAUAAUGAAAACAUGUACUGACUGGGCAACUUUGAUGUAUGGAAUACUUAAUAUAAGUUCUAUGUUAUUCU